rnacentral:rRNA from 1 species
ACGGGGGAGUAACACGUGGGCAAUCUGCCCUGCACUCUGGGACAAGCCCUGGAAACGGGGUCUAAUACCGGAUAUGACCAUCUUGGGCAUCCUUGAUGGUGUAAAGCUCCGGCGGUGCAGGAUGAGCCCGCGGCCUAUCAGCUUGUUGGUGAGGUAAUGGCUCACCAAGGCGACGACGGGUAGACGGCCUGAGAGGGCGACCGGCCACACUGGGACUGAGACACGGCCCAGACUCCUACGGGAGGCAGCAGUGGGGAAUAUUGCACAAUGGGCGAAAGCCUGAUGCACCGACGCCGCGUGAGGGAUGACGGCCUUCGGGUUGUAAACCUCUUUCAGCAGGGAAGAAGCGAAAGUGACGGUACCUGCAGAAGAAGCGCCGGCUAACUACGUGCCAGCAGCCGCGGUAAUACGUAGGGCGCGAGCGUUGUCCGGAAUUAUUGGGCGUAAAGAGCUCGUACGCGGUUUGUCACGUCAGUUGUGAAAGCCCGGGGCUUAACCCCGGGUCUGCAGUCGAUACGGGCAGGCUAGAGUUCGGUAGGGGAGAUCGGAAUUCCUGGUGU